rnacentral:rRNA from 1 species
CAGUCGCCGCGGUAAUACGAAGGGGGCUAGCGUUGCUCGGAAUGACUGGGCGUAAAGGGCGCGUAGGCGGUUUGUACAGUUGGAUGUGAAAUUCCUGGGCUUAACCUGGGGGCUGCAUUCAAUACGUGCAGGCUUGAGUGUGGAAGAGGGUUGUGGAAUUCCCAGUGUAGAGGUGAAAUUCGUAGAUAUUGGGAAGAGCACCGGUGGCGAAGGCGGCAACCUGGUCCAUUACUGACGCUGAGGCGCGAAAGCGUGGGGAGCAUACAGGAUUAGAUACCCGCGUAGUCCCUGUCUCUUAUAC